CAGCAGCAGCCGCGGUAAUACGAAGGGUGCAAGCGUUACUCGGAAUUACUGGGCGUAAAGCGUGCGUAGGUGGUGGUUUAAGUCCGUUGUGAAAGCCCUGGGCUCAACCUGGGAAUUGCAGUGGAUGCUGGGUCACUAGAGUGUGGUAGAGGAUAGUGGAAUUUCCGGUGUAGCAGUGAAAUGCGUAGAGAUCGGAAGGAACAUCUGUGGCGAAGGCGACUAUCUGGGCCAACACUGACACUGAGGCACGAAAGCGUGGGGAGCAAGCAGGAUUAGAUACCCCCGUAGUCCCUGUCUCUUAUAC
rnacentral:rRNA from 1 species